rnacentral:rRNA from 1 species
AUGGGCUCCCUCGGCGACCACGUCCCCCCCUACGGCGUCUAUCUCGACCCGGCGCGCGUCUUCUCGCUCGUCAUCAACCGCCGGCCGCGGGACCUCUUCAACUACGUGCACUCCAUCCCCGGAGCGCCCGCGGACCUGCGAUGCCGCCUCGUCGGCUUCGCCGUGAGGGCUCUCGAGGCGCCGCGGCUGGGAAACUGGUGGCCCGACGAGAGCUCGUGGACCCUGUAUUGGGCGAUGUACGCGUGGGCUCACGCAGACGCAAUGCUUAACAGAUUUGUUACUGGUGGAAUGAACGUGCCCAGAAAUGCUGCAAUGCUUAAUCAAUUGUAUGCUUCUAGCUCAAGCACUCCUACUGCAACGCUUUCUCCACAACAGGAAGAUGUGAUCAAUUUUCUGAUCUCACGUGCCAGACCGCUUAAUCGAACAUCUGCUUUUCACUGGGCAACUCAUACUUCAGAUUUUGCUCAACGGGGGACUGAUUCUACUCUUGCACUGGCAUUUGCGAACCUAUCCCUGGGCCAACCGGGAUCCCAGCAAAUGGCUCCACAGGAGCUGAUGCAGAACAACUAUGGUACACCUGCAAUGAGAGCACCAUCUCUGCACCAACCUGGACCAGCGCAACUCACUCCACAGGGGCUGAUGCAGAACAGAGAAGUGCUGCCCGCAGUAGAUAUCAAAGGAAAGGGACCUGCAUUAGGAGUAGGCCAGCAAGAACUGCGGGUCCAUGUCGCUUGUUUGAUGGCAGGUGACGGCACUACAGGUGCUGCAGGGUUGUUAAUCAAGAGGGAAACGUGGCAGUUCAUCUGCGCGUUAUGUUUUCCGAUGCGGAGCACGGAGGAGACGGUUCUUUUUGCAGCUGCUUGUUGUGAAGGGAUCAAAGUUGCUCUGGCCUAUCAACCUACUAGCAUUGUGCUGGAGUCCCAUCUAUUCCGUCUGGUCGACCUGCUACUUGGCGGCGCUCAUGCUCCCUGCCGAGAUAUGGAAGAGUUGACGACAUUACUGCAUCUCUCACGUUGCAGAGUGCAGCACAUCACGGAAGAUUCCAAUGGUGCUGCUCGUCGACUGGCCAUGCAUUGUUUGCUGUCAGAGGAGGCCGAGAUAUACUUCAGUGCUCCUGAUUGGCUUGUCCUUACUUAG